rnacentral:sRNA from 1 species
AUUUUAAUUGUUAUAUCUAAGAUUUCAUCUGUAGUAUACUGUCUCGUAUUACUAUCGAUCCAAACCCGUCAUACCAUCUAAUCCCGUUCAGUGGAAUUAAACAUAUUUAAUGGAUUUCACCCGUGGUAUACCGUCUUGUAUUACUAUCGACCCAAACCCGUCAUACCAUCUAACCCCGUUCAGAAAAAUUAAACAUUAUUUUGUUAUUUUGUUUUAAUAAUAUUUUA